ensembl:lncRNA
AUGGCUCUGCCAUUCCCCUUUGAAGAAUGUGUGUGUGUUGAGAGUAUGUGUGUGACAGAGAAAGAGAGAGAGAGAGAGAGAGAGAGAGAGAGAGAUCAAGCUAUCCAGAGAGAGAGAGACUUAAACAUCUCUUUAAUCAUCAGAAAAAAAAAAAAUCAGUAUUUUAAAUUUAUAUUGUUUAUGUUGUUGCUAAUGGUGUUUUCAAAAAAUAGCUGCAUAGUCUUCACUGUUUAAAACUAAAUAUAGAUUAAUUGUUUUUGAUUUUACAAAGGUUAUUUAGGUGGUUUUUUUUUCCAAAAAAUCAGAAAAAACUCAAAUGUAAAUAACUGCAUAGUCUUCACUGUUUAAAACUAAAUAUAGAUUAAUCAUUUUUGAUGUUACAAAGGUUAUUUAGUAUUUUUCUUUGACAGCAUUAGAUUUAUUAUUAGUUUGCUUUCACUUUAAGAACCAAUCACGGGUUUAAUAUACACAUAUUUCUGAACUGUUAACGUUAAGAAAUAUGCCUAACCGACUGUGUUUACUAGGAUAUUCCCCAAAACGCGCAUUUAGACGUAAUUAUGUAUUUAUUGAUCCAUGCACAAAAAAGCGGAAGAUUUAGUAUUCGCGCAUGCGGCUGUCUGUGUGCGUGCACGCGCUUCAGAUGUGUGCGGUGAAAACUUCUCACACAGCGCUCGAAUGUUCCGCGAACAAUCCCGAGCGCCUUACAUGCUCACCUUGUGCCUUAUACCGAGUCCUAAUCGGUGAGUUUGAACGAGAAUGCACCCGUUGACGGACAUUAUGUGGAAAUGUAGACAGUGCCAAAUAAGCUGCCUAUUUAUAUAACAGAUAUCUAUAUUGUACGUGUGCUAUCGAUGCAUCGAUCGAUCCAUAUCGAUGAAUCAAUACACCCCUAAUAUAUCAAAUGUAAAUAACUGCAUAGUCUUCACUGUUUAAAACUAAAUAUAGAUUAAUCGUUUUUGAUGUUACAAAGGUUAUUUAGGUGUUUUUUUUUUUUUUUAGGUGCUAUCGAUGCAUCAAUCCAUAUCGAUGAAUCAAUACACCCCUAAUACAGGCUAUAUAUAUAUAUAUAUAUAUAUAUAUAUAUAUAUAUAUAUAUAUAUAUAUAUAUAUAUAUAUAUAUAUAUAUAUAUAUAUAUAUAUAUAUAUUGCAUAGGUUUAUAAUAAUAAUAAUAAUAAUAAUUUUCAAACUCAUUUAAAUACUGACCUAUGACAUCCUGUGACAUGACAUGUAUCUGAAUUUACACAAACUCAUGAUGUAACAGUAAAACAGUUCAGCUCACAGAUGAAGACUAAGCUGUAAUGCCGGCAAAAAUAUUUCACAAAUGCUUAUAGAUCAAUAAAAUCAUUAAAAAUGCUAUGCACGGCGUGCAUCAUUAUUAGGCACUUGAUAUUCUGAUGAUAUUUUCCAAGCACAUUUUUCCAAUUCCACAUCCCAUCAGUCUUAAUAACUACUAUACAUUUGGUAUAUGAUCAUUUAUGAGUGAUGUAUAAUUGUCCAUUACGGCUGGAAGUGAAAAACUGCUUAUAUUCAGGAGUGCUGAAUUAUUAGGCAUGUUUUCUUUUACUGAUAAAAUUAGCCAAAAAAAUAACAUACUGUUCUGCAGAUGUUAUAACAUAUCACAUGAAAGUAAUUAUUUUUUGUAGAGAGGUUUUUGAAUUUUCCUUAUGGUAAGAUGGAUAUAUAUUGUAGAUUUUUUUUUUUUCAGUGAAAGUAAUGUGUAAACAGCAUCAUGUAAUAUUUUUUAUGAUGGUUAGUUGCAUAUUUGUGUAUUUUAGUUUCCAUAAAGUUACUCUUAAAACGUUAUUAUAUAUAUGUGUAUGCUCUUUUGGAAAAAUGCCUCUUAACCAAAAAUAAAAAUUUUGCUCUUUGGUCAAAAAAGGUUCCUGACCCCUGUUCCAGAAUCUGGCAGUAAGUUUGGGGAGCUCAUUUUUAUUCCAUCUUCUAUUCUGAAAAGUCUUAAUUCUUUUGCAGUUAACUUGUGUCUUUUCUCCACCUGUCAAUUUCUGUAUUGCAAUAGUUUUGAAUAAUUCUCAUGGGGAUUUAAUCAUUUUUGACUUUUCAGUCUGAGUUACAACUCUUUUUGGCUCAUUUCAUCUGUAAAAAAAAGAAUUGCCUAAUAAUUCUGCACACCUGAAUAUAAGGAGUUUUUCUCUCCCAGCCUUCAUGGACAAUUAUAUAUCACUCAUAAAUGAUUAAAUACAAAAUUAAUGGUAGUUAUUAAGAUUGAUGUCGUUGGGAAUUGGUAAAAAUGUGCUUGGAAAAAAAAAUCAGAAUAUCAACAUGCCUAAUAAUUGUGCACACAAUGUAAAUCAAUAAAGGUUUUAGUAACACUUUAUAAUAAGGUGUAAUUUGUAAACAUUAGUAAAUGAACAUGAACAAUAUAUUUUCACAGAAUUUAUUAAUGUUUGUUGAUUUUAGUUCACAGUGCAUUAACUAAUGUUAACAGAUAUUUUUUUUUUUAAGU